rnacentral:piRNA from 1 species
UGAGGACCUGGCCAAACGCAGCA